AAAAUACUCCCUCCGUCUCGAAUUACUUGUCACGUAAAUGAAUGUAUCUAGACAUAUGUUUAGUUAUAGAUACAUCAAUUUCUAUUCAUUUCUGGGACAAGUAAUUCGGAACGGGGGGAGUAGCAC
rfam:Triticum aestivum genome assembly, contig: Triticum_aestivum_CS42_TGACv1_scaffold_213634_3AS